CUUUUUUCUUUCUUCUCUUUCCUUUUUUCAAUUAUAUGAUUCUAAUUGAUUUUUUUCCCUUGUUAGAAUUGGUCUGGAUAUGAAGCUACUAAACGCAUGAGACACAGAAAUCAUCUUAAUUGAUCUUGCAGGUGAAAUGUUAGAAAUCAGCUUCAGCACCUUAAUUAGAUUUUG